GCCAAGCCUAUCUAUCCAUUGGCUUCCCCCAUGUUCAGGCCAACUGGAGGCUCUUGGUGGGGUUAAGCCCUACCUCUCUCAGCAUUUCGGGCCACAUCCUGAUCAAAGAACAGACUACAAAGAUCUUGAUGCCAUGACUGGAACAGUGCUGGAGGAGCUUUGUACGCAGUGAGUAACUCUUCACGUAGAGUGGGUGUGCAAGCCUGCCCUAAUGCCACUGUCUGCUGAGUCAACUUGAACAUGGGACUACAUAUGACAAGAAGGUCUGUGGUGCCAGAUGCUGAUUUAGAGAUGAACAGGAGAAUCCUGACCUUAAUGCUGUUCUCUUCUUUCUGCCUUGCUGGGGGAAAUACUUUCAACUGCGAGGCAAGUAAUGUACCAUGUUACAGCCACAAUAAUGUUUAAUGGUUGUGUCCUGUGGCUGAGGUUAAUGACUAGUUAGGGAAGCUUUCACACAGAGGAAUAUAAAAUAUAAAAUAAAGCUCACAAGGAGGAAGAAAGAGGGUAAUGACAAUUGCUGGCAGUUGUGGACCCUGAUCCCUGAGGUGGAUGCUUUAAAAGCCAGCCCAGCAGGCUCUUCUCAGGGCAGUGACUUUGCUAAGUCUCUGGGAGGGUGAAGAAGACCUUGCAGCCAUGCUUACCUGUGUCUGUGAUUGCUGGUGCUGGUGCAAGUGGAACAUCCUUGCUCAGAGCUGGCCCCACACCAGGCCAUUUUUAUAAUGUCUCACCCUUUCUGCAGUGCCCUUUCACAGCUGUGUUGUCAGUGCUUUGUAACCAGAUUCCACUGGUCUUUCUGAUCAUUGCAUGCCUUCUUCUCUGCUCUCCCUGCUUUCAUUUUUUAUUCACAGAUGUUACUAAAGCACUUUCCUCCCUCUUUCCCCCCCUUCUCUUUAAUGAUUUGCUGCAUUAAAAAAAGUCCCUCUGUGCCUGUACAAGUAAUAAAUGAGAGCCAAGGGAGAAGCCAGGCUCUACUCCCUGAAGCCAGGCCUCUGCUUUCCCAAGCUUGGAGCUGUGCUCCAUGUGCCAGCUGUGUGUCACUGUUCUCAGCUGCUGCCAGAUGUGCCAGUCCCCUCAUCCUUGUCUGCACAGGCACAAGGCUGGUCUCCAGGGCUGAGAAAGGGGCAGAGAUCUCUGCAGACCCUAGACCAAAGGUAGGUCCAAGCCAUGCUGGACAGUUCUGGCCAGUCUGGAUAUAAUGGUGUGGCAUCAAGGUGCUGUGUGUGGAGCUACUACAGGUCUUGCAACUAAUGACUGCUACACUUGGGAGAACUUUCAGGACCCACAGCAGUCCCUUUAGCUUUAUUUUAUAGGACAUAUCAAGCCAUCUCCCCUAUAACUGUCACUGUGGGUGAAGGCAGCUUGCUUUGCAAUGGGAGUUGAUGUUCUCCUCUGGACCUGAAUCCAAAGGAUUGUGUUUCUCAGUAGAGAGGCAUUGGAACAGGACACUGAGGGAGGUGGUGGAGUCACUGUCCCUGGAAAAAGGGUAGAUAUUGCACUUCGUAGUAUUAUUUAGUGGUAUGAUGGUGGUGGGUUGAUGAUCUUAGUGGCUUUUCCAGCCUUAAUGAAUCUAUGUUUCUAUGCUCCAUGUCUCC